rnacentral:rRNA from 1 species
UCAAUGGCCUAACGGCUGAACCAGCAACUUGGGGGAAUGUAUUUCGAUUAUGUCGUAUAAAGUUCUAGAUAGAUUGAUGAUAAUGACAAUUUUCUAUCUAUAUGUCUUGACCAAAUCUUGUGCCAGCAGUCGCGGCAAGACAAGAGAGACUAGUGUUAUUCAUCUUUAUUAGGUUUAAAGGGUACCUAGACUGUAAAUUUAGCCCCUAAAGGGUACGUAUUUGCUAGAGUUAUUUGUGAGAGGAAUAUAGCAGAACUAUUGGUGUAAAGAUGAAAUUUUUUAAUACCAAUAUAACGGGUAACGGCGAAGGCAACCCUUUAUGUGAUAACUGACGUUGAGGGACGAAGGCUCAGGGAGCGAAGAGGAUUAGAUACCCCCGUAGUCUGGGCAGACAAUUAUGAGUGUCAUAGACUUAAGGCCAACUAGUAAAACUAAAUUGCUUUUUUUUUGCUAGUCGGUGGGGUCUAUAAAUGAAAAUGUAAGCACUCCACCUCAAGAGUAAUGUGGCAACGCAGGAACUGAAAUCAUUAGACCGUUUCUGAAACCAGUAGUGAAGUAUGUUAUUUAAUUCGAUGAUCCUCGAAAAACCUUACCAUAAUUUGUAUGUCAAUCUUAUAUUGAUACAAGCGUUGCAUGGCUGUCUUCAGUUAAUGUCGUGAGAUUUGGUUAGUUCCAUUAAAUUAACGUAAACCCUUGCUUUAUUUAGAUUUAUAAAGCAGCUCGCCGCGACAAUUGGGUGUGACAACAGGGACUAAGACAAGUCAUCAUGGCCUGAAUAUUAU